AAAAGAGUUCUGUAGAUGGGUGAUGGCGAUGGUAGCACAGCAAUGUGAAUGUACUGAAUGCCACAGACUUAUGAAGCCCUGGGUGAGAGGACUACCAAUCACAGCCAGCUGCAAGAUUCCAGACUGGGUCAGAAGGAGAAGCCUAUUGAAUGGAGGCCUUAGUGGGUAAAGUGGAAACACACAGAAGAUACAAAACUCAUCCCUGCUGAAAUUCCAGCCGAAUGCCCAUAACCCAAAGAACCCAUCUUUAUCAAGAAAUAUACUUUCCUAGUUGCUUUGGGGUGGAGAAGAUGAGAUCCCAAACCUACCUUGUAAGGAGAACAAGAAAUAAAGAGAGAGGUAAACUUUGCUCCAGAAGAAAUGAUCCAGAAUAUUGAAGGUAGGCAAAGACAGGGGAGAAAGAGGA
rnacentral:lncRNA from 1 species